rnacentral:rRNA from 1 species
GACAUAGGUCGCAAGCGUUAUCCGGAAUGAUUGGGCGUAAAGCGUCUGCAGGUGGCAGUUCAAGUCUGCUGUCAAAGACCGGGGCUUAACUUCGGAAAGGCAGUGGAAACUGAACAGCUAGAGUAUGGUAGGGGCAGAGGGAAUUCCUGGUGUAGCGGUGAAAUGCGUAGAGAUCAGGAAGAACAUCGGUGGCGAAGGCGCUCUGCUGGACCAUAACUGACACUCAGGGACGAAAGCUAGGGGAGCGAAUGGG